UACGUAGGGUGCAAGCGUUAAUCGGAAUUACUGGGCGUAAAGCGUGCGCAGGCGGUUCGGAAAGAAGGAUGUGAAAUCCCAGGGCUUAACCUUGGAACUGCAUUCUUAACUGCCGGGCUAGAGUAUGUCAGAGGGGGGUAGAAUUCCACGUGUAGCAGUGAAAUUCGUAGAUAUUCGGAAGAACACCAGUGGCGAAGGCGGCUCACUGGCCCGUUACCGACGCUCAGGCGCGACAGCGUGGGGAGCAAACAGG
rnacentral:rRNA from 1 species